UCAAAUUCUCGACAGAUAUGGUUGACAAUUGUUGUCUCUAAGGGGGGUUAUUUGCUUGUAUGUAGUUGCGGUUAUAAGUAUAUACAGAUUUAAAUAGGAUAUAUGGUUUAAUACAUUUGAAUUCGAUUAUUGCAGUUGAAACUACAAAAGUAGAUAGAACUAUACAUUGCAACAGUUGAAACUAUGCCGAAAUUGAACGCAAUUUCAACCAUGGCAGUCAGAGAGAAUAGCUGAAUAAAAGAUAUGAUUACCUCUCUAAUUACAUUUUAAACAAGAUAACACAAACUUUCUUCCACACUGGGAUACCUCCACACGUCAUAUAUGAAAUGAUGAAAUUUGCAUACAUAUCCUACAACUAAAUGCAUUUAAACAAAUUAUUUAUUACCACGCUACUUUUUAUAAUAUUUAAUCAAAUAAAAUGCAUAUAAUUAUGGGGA
rnacentral:lncRNA from 1 species